CUGAAGCAUUCUAAUCCAAUCCUUUACAGCAGGACAAGACAAAUAAUUGGCUGUCUAGAGAAACCUAAACCCUCAAUACAACCUAAAACCCCAAAAGCAAUCAAGGACCAAUAAUAAAUCUUGAUCCAAACCCAGCUCAAGGUAUUCCAAUAUAGUCAAGACCCAAUCAAGAAUCCUCAAAAAGCACAAAAAAUUCACCUUUGAUAUCAAAUUCAGUGCAAUAGAGCAAAAGGUGUUGUAAUCAAAACCUGAUCAACGAGCUCUCUUAUCUCUGCAUAUUUGGGCAUUAAAUCCCUCUUGCACACUGAGAG
rnacentral:misc_RNA from 1 species